GAUGAACGCUGGCGGCGUGCUUAACACAUGCAAGUCGAACGGAAAGGCCCAAGCUUGCUUGGGUACUCGAGUGGCGAACGGGUGAGUAACACGUGGGUGAUCUGCCCUGCACUUCGGGAUAAGCCUGGGAAACUGGGUCUAAUACCGGAUAGGACCACUUCUUGGAUGUUGUGGUGGAAAGUUUUUUCGGUGUGGGAUGAGCUCGCGGCCUAUCAGCUUGUUGGUGGGGUAAUGGCCUACCAAGGCGUCGACGGGUAGCCGGCCUGAGAGGGUGUACGGCCACAUUGGGACUGAGAUACGGCCCAGACUCCUACGGGAGGCAGCAAUGGGGAAUAUUGCACAAUGGGCGCAAGCCUGAUGCAGCGACGCCGCGUGGGGGAUGACGGCCUUCGGGUUGUAAACUCCUUUCGCUAGGGACGAAGCGUUUUUGUGACGGUACCUGGAGAAGAAGCACCGGCUAACUACGUG
rnacentral:rRNA from 1 species